rnacentral:lncRNA from 1 species
AUGGCUGGCACAGGACCCCCGGGGCACGGCAGGUGCCCGUUGCCCGCUCCGCCAGCGGCUGCAUUCCCCAAAAGCACACCAUCCCAUCGUGUCUGCUGCCUCCUGACCCCCGGCCCUUAUCUCAUCCCACAUCACCUUCCUGCGUUUCCUGGCCUCUCCCUGCCCCGGGCCAUCCCUGGGUCUCCGGAGCGAGCCGUGGCCACGCCCGAGCUGGCGCGGGUUACCAGCAGCCGCGGGGCUGGGACCGCUCGCCGCCGGGCCCGGGCUUCGCGCUCGUCCUGGCCGCUGGGGCCUCGGAGAGCGGCGGCAGGAGCGAGGCAUCACCCGAGCGCUGACAGGCGCCUCUCCGCCUUCCCCGCCCGGCGCAUUCGCCUUGCCACGUGCAGAACCCGGCAGGCGCGGACCGCCAGCGCCCUCGCGGUUGCCGUGGCUACGCACGAGCGGCCGCAGCUGACCCAGGCGGGGCCUCCCUCCGCCGCCUCCGCCUCGGGCUCCGUCCCCGCUCGGUUAGGGAACCCCAAGCCCCCGGCCCCUACAAGCUGUGCACACCUGCAGCAGACCCGUUUCUGCAAAGCUUCUGAAGAAAAGAAAACAACUUCAAAGCGCUUGGAAAAGUUGUUGAAUAGGAAAGCUGGCUGUCCUGGAAAUCCCGGCUACUGCUCUGUAACACAAGGCACCUCACCUGUCUCUGCUCAGGCACACAGAAGGAAUUUCCCAUUUUCCUCUUCUCUUUCCUUUUGCUGA